AGUGAACGCUGGCGGUAGGCCUAACACAUGCAAGUCGAACGGCAGCACAGUAAGAGCUUGCUCUUACGGGUGGCGAGUGGCGGACGGGUGAGGAAUACAUCGGAAUCUACUUUUUCGUGGGGGAUAACGUAGGUAAACUUACGCUAAUACCGCAUACGCCCUACGGGUGAAAGCAGGGGAUCUUCUGACCUUGCGCGAUUGAAUGAGCCGAUGUCGGAUUAGCUAGUUGGCGGGGUAAAGGCCCACCAAGGCGACGAUCCGUAGCUGGUCGGAGAGGAUGAUAAGCCACACGGGAACUGAGACACGGUCCAGACGCCUAAGGGAGGCAGCAGUGGGGAAUAUGGGACAAUAGGCGCAAGCAUGAUCCAGCCAGACCGCGUGGGUGAAGAAGGCCUUCGGGUUGUAAAGCCCUGUUGUUGGGAAAGAAAAGCAGCAGGUUAAGACCACGCGGGUGUGACGGUACCCAAAGAAGAAGCACCGGCUAACUUCGUG
rnacentral:rRNA from 1 species